UACGUAGGGGGCAAGCGUUGUCCGGAAUCAUUGGGCGUAAAGAGCGUGUAGGCGGCCAGAUAAGUCCGCUGUGAAAUCUCGAAGGCCUCGAACUUCGAGCUGUCGGUGGAAACGUGUCUGGCUAGAGGCCGGAAGAGGAGAAUGGAAUUCCAGGUGUAGCGGUGAAAUGCGUAGAUAUCGGAGGAACACCGGUGGCGAAGGCGGCAAUCCGUGGAGCCGGCAUUGACGCUGAGGAGCGAAAGCCAGGGGAGCAAACGGG
rnacentral:rRNA from 1 species